rnacentral:rRNA from 1 species
CCUACGGGAGGCUGCAGUGAGGAAUAUUGGUCAAUGGACGAGAGUCUGAACCAGCCAAGUAGCGUGAAGGAUGACUGCCCUAUAGGUUGUAAACUUCUUUUAUAAAAGGAUAAAACGAGACACGUGUGCCUUUUUGCAUGUACUUUAUGAAUAAGGAUAGGCUAACUCAGUGCCAGCAGCCGCGGUAAUACGGAGGAUACGAGCGUUAUCCGGAUUGAUUGGGUUGAGAGGGAGCGUAGAUGGGUUGUUAAGUCAGGUGUGAAAGUUUGCGGCUCAACCGUAACAUUGCAAUUGAUACUGGCAGUCUUGAGUACAGAUGAGGUAGGCGGAAUUCGUGGUGUAGCGGUGAA